rnacentral:lncRNA from 1 species
CGAACCAGAGGGGUCAGCGAACUACCUGCUCAACUCUCGUCGGGGCUCACUAUAAUCCACAAUUCAAAACUAGAAAUACUUCAAAUAUUUUCAACGUACAUUUAAAGUACUCCAAAACAUUAAUGCUUAAAAUUAGUUAACCUUCAACCUUAAAUACAACCCAAAAAAAUAUGUGCUACAGUCAUUUGCUAUAAUACAAUUUAAAGUCUCCAAAAGAAAAUAACUUAGUGCUAUUCGUGAGCACUCUCGGUCUUGAAUCCUAUUGAGGAAAACAAAGGAGUGGAAUGAAUUAAACAGCCCAGUGAGGUUCCAAAAUACACAAACAGUUCUAAUAAAUCAAGUAAAUUAAGCAUAACACACAUAUGGUUCAAGGUUUCACAUUGGUAUAUUAAAACGAGACAUUUAUCAUUUUAUAAAAAUAAACACACAUUAAAAGGAUAUGGUGUUCACGUGGAACUAUUUCGGUCAGUUUCACCUUAUAACUCCAAUGAUUCCCUCG